GUCCACGCCCUAAACGAUGAUGACUAGUUGUUGGAGGAGUUAAAUCAUUUAGUAACGCAGCUAACGCGAGAAGUCAUCCGCCUGGGGAGUACGGUCGCAAGAUUAAAACUCAAAGGAAUUGACGGGGGCCGCACAAGCGGUGGAUGAUGUGGUUCAAUUCGACGCAACGCGAAAACCUUAACCUACCCUUGACAUGUACGGAACCUCACGGAGACGUGAGGGUGCCCGAAAGGGAGCCGUAACACAGGUGCUGCAUGGCUGUCGU
rnacentral:rRNA from 1 species